GUUCCAGUAGCUCAAUGGUAGGGCGCCAGACUUCUAAUCUGGAGAUUGCGGGUGAGUCCCGUCUGGAGUA
rnacentral:tRNA from 1 species